AGCGAACGCUGGCGGCAGGCCAAACACAUGCAAGUCGAACGAUCCCUUCGGGGUUAGUGGCGGACGGGUGAGUAACACGUGGGAACGUGCCUUUAGGUUCGGAAUAACUCAGGGAAACUUGUGCUAAUACCGAAUGUGCCCUUCGGGGGAAAGAUUUAUCGCCUUUAGAGCGGCCCGCGUCUGAUUAGCUAGUUGGUGAGGUAAUGGCUCACCAAGGCUACGAUCAGUAGCUGGUCUGAGAGGAUGACCAGCCACAUUGGGACUGAGACACGGCCCGAACUCCUACGGGAGGCAGCAGGGGGGAAUCUUGCGCAAUGGGCGAAAGCCUGACGCAGCCAUGCCGCGUGGAUGAUGAAGGUCUUAGGAUUGUAAAAUCCUUUCACCGGUGAAGAUAAUGACUGUAGCCGGAGAAGAAGCCCCGGCUAACUUCGUGCCAGCCGCCGCCGUAAAAC
rnacentral:rRNA from 1 species